CAGGCCUGCCCAUCUAGGACAC
rnacentral:miRNA from 1 species